GUGGUGCCCGAUUUCCCGUUGUUUGUUUUUCAGCUGCGCGUGGCUUACACAUGUGUGAGUGCAUCGCGCUCUCUCUUUUCCCCUGAGUGUGUGGGAUCAACAAAUUUGUUCCUAUCUCAAGAAGCUUGUGUACAACCUUGAAGCAAAAAUACAUACGUACAGAUGUACCAAGCAGAAACAUUAUACUACUAUGAAUUACAUGCAUACAUGUGUACAAACCCGUAUUUAUAAUAAAGAACGAAUGGAGCACAAAUCGGACCUAUACAACCUUGACCACCCAGUAAAGCCAAUUCUUGCCGGGCAUUGACUCUGCCCUCAAGCUCCUAACGGUCGGUCACACCCACCAUGUCGCCCGCUCAACCAUCGCUUUCAACCAGCUUUAAUAGCCCCACGCGCGCCCCAACAAACGUCAACGUCGCAGGUGAAAAUCGCAGUACGUAGAAGGUAAUGCACAACUGCAAUAUUUUGUAUUAUUUAUGAUGACACGAUCUAUUAGUGUCACGGGGAAUACGAGAAAUGUGAACAUAUUAAAUAUAUUUUUUCAUCGUUAGUUAA